rnacentral:rRNA from 1 species
GUGGGGAAUUUUGGACAAUGGGCGAAAGCCUGAUCCAGCAAUGCCGCGUGUGUGAAGAAGGCCUUCGGGUUGUAAAGCACUUUUGUCCGGAAAGAAAUCCUUGGCUCUAAUACAGUCGGGGGAUGACGGUACCGGAAGAAUAAGCACCGGCUAACUACGUGCCAGCAGCCGCGGUAAUACGUAGGGUGCAAGCGUUAAUCGGAAUUACUGGGCGUAAAGCGUGCGCAGGCGGUUUGCUAAGACCGAUGUGAAAUCCCCGGGCUCAACCUGGGAACUGCAUUGGUGACUGGCAGGCUAGAGUAUGGCAGAGGGGGGUAGAAUUCCACGUGUAGCAGUGAAAUGCGUAGAGAUGUGGAGGAAUACCGAUGGCGAAGGCAGCCCCCUGGGCCAAUACUGACGCUCAUGCACGAAAGCGUGGGGAGCAAACAGG